AGUCAUUGACAAGAACAUCGUUAUGGACCGGCGGUAAAGAGCCUCGAGAGUGAAUGUUAAUUUUUCGAAAGGAGAAGUCCUCUAUUUUAGCUUCAUCAUUCAGCCUGAAAACUGAACUGCAUCAUAAAACUUGUGCUUGAAAAGUGUCAUGGGACCCAUAUUAAGUACCCAACUUUGAUUUGCUUGACACAAGUAGCUUUGCAGAAGAAGGAUUCCAGCUUAAAUAAAAACACGUGUCACAUCCAUAAUUGUUUGACAUCAUCUUCAAGCACACCUGGAUUCCUUGUUGCAAUGUCUUCAAAACAAAUGUAAAAAUGAAAGCAUUAAAGUGGUGAGCUCAUAAUGAUGGGAUCAAAAGGAAGUGAACUGGACUCUGAGGAACUUAACACAAGAUUGUGAUGGACCUAGAAUGCAACACCGUUUACGAAUAAGUCAAGAACCAAAUGAAACACUAUUUUCCAGAGCGCAGAUUAUGGAAGGGUCUGCAAAACUAAUGGAGCAGUUUCUUCUUCUUGGAGUGCCACAGCUUAAAUCCAAAGGUCCUAACAGCUCUCCUGAUUCCGUCAAGGCUUGAAGUGUCAGCAUUACGUUGGCCUACACUCCCUCACUUGCCUUCCGCUCCCUCAUUUAUCAGAGGCACCACAGUAGAAUGAAUUAGCAAUUACUUUUCACUUUCCAGCCGCAACCCAGCUCUGGGAAACACCUAUACACUCUCUCAUACACCUGCACACAUUCACUCACUGUGGCCAAUUCACCAAUACCAUACGCAUGCCUUUGGACUGUAUGGACAACUGGAGCACCCAGAGGAAACCCACACAAACACUGGGAGAACUUGCAAACUUCACACAGAAACACCA
ensembl:processed_transcript